CUUUGAGAUACUAAUUGGGACAACACCAAAUAUCAGGGUUCUCAGGAUACAUCCGAAGAAACCUCAAGCUUCCUCCAAAAGAUCAAGCCAAAUCCUCCAAAUCGACUAAACCCUGAUCAACAUUAUGGACCCUGAAGAGCCUACAAUGGCAACCCACAUCAUAAGCUAGGGGCUAGUAGUCCGGGGAGAACAUCAGGACU
rnacentral:lncRNA from 1 species